rnacentral:miRNA from 1 species
UUCCCAGCUCCGACGGAAUGG